UCUGCCUAUAGAGGCCUGGGGUCCCUUUGGCAGCACUUUUCUCAAGAAAGUAGAGUCGUGGACAACCAACUGCACAGGUUGGGAGGCUUUGAAGAACAAGCUGCCAUGAAUCCUGCAGCUACAAGGAAAUGAACUCUAUUAACUUGAGUGAGCUUAAAACUAGAUCCUUCCCCAGUCAAGCCUCCAGGUGAGAAUUCAAUCCUGGCUGGCACCUGGAUUGCAGCUUACAGAAGACCCAGCUAAGGCCAUGUCUGGACUUUAAAUCCACAGGAACUGCAAGAUGGUAUCAGAAGUGGGACCUGCAGUGGGGCAUCUAGCAACCCCCAGGAGCAUUGAGUGACCAGGCUUGGGACCCACCGGGCGCAGGGUGUCCAUUGUUCUCUCGAAGCAACUGAGAAUUGUGGAUAUUCUUCAUUAUUCCAUCAUCAUCUCAAACCUCUUGGGUAUAGUGUUUGACUACUACUGUGACCAUAAAUUCCAAUAAAACCUAGGAAAAAUGAAACCACUACAUUAACUGAAAGGUAAGUGGAGAAUUUUCACCUUUUUACUUGAAGGAAGGAUUUGACAGCUUCUUUUGGGCAUAUCAGAAUCGCCAGCAUCACUACUCUUGCACUGUGCGGCCAUUAUUAAGUGAAAUAAGGAUUACUUGAACACAAGCACUGCAAUGCCGCUACAGUCAAUGUGAUAACCCAGCUGGUGACUAAGUGACCAAGGACGGGGAGUAUCUACAGCGGGGAGACUCUGGAAAAAGGGAGGAUUCACAUCCAGUGCCACUGGGGCAGGGCAGAAUGAGAGUUCAUCAUGCUACAAAGAAUGGCACAGAAUAUACGACUUGUGAGUGGAUUAUCUCUGGAAUUUUCUGUUGACUACAUUUGUACUACAGUUGUAUGUGGGUAACAAACUGUGGAAAGUGAAACUUCGGGUAAGGGGGAGGCUACCGUAGAUAGCCCAGUAUUUCUUAUUUUGUGGAUUUGUUUAUCUUUCUGCUCACAUCCUUUUCCUUCUGCAUUACCAUUUUAGUAAAAAUAGAUAGCAUCCA
rnacentral:lncRNA from 1 species